rnacentral:sRNA from 1 species
UUCGAACGAAUACAGCGUGUCAUCGCC